ACGCAGCCCGACCCGUUAGGUUCUGAAAUUCCGGGUUACCGUCUUGGGAUCUGCAGGCGCUCUGAUGCCCUUGGCUCAGGCACCCGGCUUAUGCCCACACCGGCCGGCUGGAACCUUUCGAGGAACAGAAGGAUUCCUGGGCUCCAGCCCUACCUAGGUCUGGAGGCAGCGAUGACUUCGCCAAACUGCCGUCUCCGCCCACCCCAGUCUCCACGUCUCGCCGCGGCUCUCUGCAGGGGGCUCAAGGGGCUCAUCCUGAUGCCCGCAUCCCAGAGGCUUAACCUGCCCGCUCCCAGUCUUCAGGUUUGCCUGGCUCCCCUCCGGACCCCUCCCUCCACUGAGCGGCGGAGAUGGAUGCGACAUCCCCCACGGGGAUCUCUGGACUCCCCAACAGCAGCAGCAGCGCGUGGAGGGGCAGCCCAGCACCCCGGUGUGACAGUUUCUCUGGAGAGCUGGGAAAAGAAAUCCAACAACAGUGAGUUAGUGGUGUCAGAGGUUUCUCUUCCUAAUAUCACAAGAGCCUGGAGGGAGGCAUUCCCAGACUGCAUAGCAGGUUUAAGAACUCAGGGUCUGAAGUGAGACGUGCGGAGGUGGGCCUCCCAAGUCCCAGUGUACAAGCUCCAGUGAACCUUGGCAAGUGAUUCCCAUCUGAGCCUUCCUGUUAUCACCUGCAGCAAGGGAUUUCUACAUCCAGCAUUCUUCUCAAACAAGCCGCAGAUCUGCUUCUUGCCCUUUGAAAGCUGAUGGCUCCGCUUCCAAGUGCCGUGGCUGGCAGGCAGAUUAUGAAACGGGAUGCACCGUCAGAAACGCAGUCUACACAGCUCCCCCCUCAUGCCCUCACUCUGGGCAAACCAACCUCAUCCAUCCAUACUGCCCCGGAGGAGGACUGGACUACAGGAGGGGAGCCUCCGGUCAGCUGGACUCUGAGCUGCGGAAACCCCAGGCAGACACUGAGCCUGCUGUCCUCUCAGCGCAAUUUAGAGAUUGUCUUGGGCCUGGCACCAGGAGCUCCGUGGAUUAAGACUGCUUUUCCGGACUCCCCAUCAAUUUCCGAGUGUUUCCCUCUCCUCGGCAUUGCUUUUCCGAUAAAGUAGCCCAAGUGUGAUGGCAAGGGGGUGGCUUCUUAGGACAGGGUCCCAGCGACACCAGAGCAGCUCACAAAGCUUCAACUGGAAGCCACAGGAGUCCUCUUCCCAGCCCCGGCCGGGACCAACGUGAAGUGUGUGGUGGCAGAAAGCGUUCAUUUCUAUGGUAACUGUGUGGAGAGGCACUGAGGAAUUUUAAAAGGUAAAUCAUGCUAAAAUGGCGAAUGGGGGAAAUCAAACAGUGAACAGCCUAUGGUAGGCUUCACGAUGGAAAGAGAAUUCUUGUACCCACGACUUCUCCAUCUGUUACACAGCCAAGUUCCCUGUACAUCACGCUGGUAGGGAAACACCAGCUCACUCACUUUCUUCUCCCCCAACCUCUUUUCCUUUGCUCCUCCCCCUUUCUUCUUUUCUUUUUCCCAGUAGCAUUUUUAGGAGCAAGGAAAUAUAUCCUGGUACAGUCAGCAAAGAGGUGGGGAGGGAAGGGCACCUAACACUUCCUGAGCCUUGCCCACAUGCCAGGGGCAUUAUGUAACAAAAAUCUCCUUUAAUCCCCACAAGACAGGUAAUACUAGCUAUUUUUUUUCGAGAUUAGGAAAAUCAGGCUUAGGUAAUAGAGUGCAAGUUUCCAAGGAGGCAGAGCUCUCAGGCGUGAGAGCCAGGAUUCCAGCUCUGAGCUCUGUGACUCCGAAGCGCAGUGUCUUCACAUCACACUGGGCUGCGGACUGCUCUCCCCCAAGGAACCGAUGGAGUCUGUUGGUUGUGUCUACAGAUGAAGAAAAUGGCCCGGUGGGCCCCUGGUUAGACUAGACCAGUGGUCGGCAAACCGCGGCUCUCGAGCCACAUGAGGCUCUUUGGCCCCUUGAGUGGGGCUUUUCCACAAAAUACCACGUGAGGGCACGCAUGUACAAUGCAAAGUUGACUUAAAACUUUAAGUAAAGUUUAUUAAGUUAAUUUUAGGGAACAUUGUGGAGUGAAAGAAGAUGUAGUGUCGAGGACUGAGAAAGGUAUGUUGAGAUGGUUUGGGCAUAUAGAGAGGAUGAAUGAAAGGAGAUAGACGAAACAAGUAUACAAGACGAGUAUGGAUGGGAGAGUUGGAAGGGGUCGACCUCAGCGAACGUACCUCAAUCAGAUUGAGGACAUUUUUAGCAAAGGCCAGCUUAGGAGUACCCUAAUUAAGUUAAUAACAGUGUACCUACCUAUAUAGUUUAAGUUUAAAAAAUUUGGCUCUCAAAAGAAAUUUCAAUCGUUAUACUGUUGAUAUUUGCCUCUGUUGACUAACGAGUUUGCCGACCACUGGACUAGACCAUCAGGGCAGGCUAUCAUUUCAGCUUGGAUCUGUCUUGUUCCCUCAUUCCAUCCUCUUCUCAACACAAGUGGGUGUGGGUGACCCUGCAUGAACCCAAUGAACAAUUAGGGGAGUGGACACCAUGACCAGAGGGGCAGACCCACUCUAGGAAUUAGUUCUACACAUUCUGCAACUUGACUGUUUCUCAGGGCAGACAUUCCUCAGAUCUGUAGGAGACUAAAGGGAGAGAGUCAAAGAGAGCAGAGUCCAGGUAAGUAAAAGCCUGGGAGCACGAGCAGCAGCAAAUUCAAAUGCCAUCCACAAUGAUCGGUGCUCAGAUUCAGGUCUCGCCAGGCCAAUGCGCUGCUGGAAGGAGGUUCCACUGGAGUCAGAGUUGCCUCUGGCCAGGCCCAUUUCUCCCCUGGGAAGCGGCGGACCUGCAGCGAAGGGAAUUGAAAUUAUGUCCCACAAAAUGAGUAAGAUCAAACACAGGCAAAGGAGCCAUUCCUUGGAUCUCUUUGAGUUCUUGUAUAUUGCUAUCCAAUAAUGGGUGGGCUGUACCAUUCAAAAAUGGGCACCGAGUCUAGAAAUAAUAACCUUUUUAUUAAAAAACUAGGCUGUAAUUUUUUUAGGGGUCAACUGGGUACCACGCAUAUUACCACAGAAUCCCGUUAGGAUGUUGGAAUGAGGCCGGUUUGUGCUAUUACAGGACAAGCGAAGCUGAUGUUUUCCUUCCUCUUUCUGAGGUUGUGGCGGAUCAUCAGGCUUUCGAAGCUGGCGACUCUGUAACAAACAUGAUACCCCACUCCAUGGUGUGGGGCUGUUUUUCCAGGAGCGGGCACAGAUGGUGUUUCUGUCUCCUCCAGAGAAUAUUUUCAAUGUAAAGUGUCUGAAAUAAAUUCUUCAACUGAGGCCAAAACAGUCUUCUGGAAAAAAUCAUAUGUGAAUAGGAAAUAAGAACAGCCUGGCCUGGCGGGGCUGAAAAAAGUUAAAAUGCAGCUGGCUUUUAGAAAUGGUAAUAUUUGUAAUAAUGUUUGUAUUGGGAAUGUAAUGAGACCUGGGAUUGUGGAAGGGAGCCUUGCUUUACCCAGGAAAUUUACUGAUUGUCUUCUCUUCCUUUCUCUCCCCUCCCCUCCCCUCCCCUCCCCUUCUCUCC